rnacentral:ribozyme from 1 species
AAAACAAAGAAAAAGAAGAAAGAAAAAAAAAUGAAACUUGCUAUUGCAUCCG